AAGAUGGUUUCGGCUAUCACUUCGGGAUGGGCCUGCGGCGCAUUAGCUUGUUGGUGGGGUAACGGCNCUACCAAGGCGANUGAUGC
rnacentral:rRNA from 1 species